GGUAAUUUAAUCUUAUAAUCAAAAUAAAUGGAUCAAAANCUAUUAUACAUAAAUAUGCAACCCCAAAGAGAAGUUAAAUAAUAUCUCCCAUCACCCCAACAAAACAGCAUUCCCAUUAAAUAAAAUAAAACAAACACACAAAAACAGAAAUAAAUGUUAAACUCUAUAGGGUCUUCUCGUCCCAUAAAAACAUUUAAGAAUUUUAACUCAAAAACCAAAUUCAAUUAACAAUACCCCAAAGACAGCUUAUAUCUCGUCAAGCCAUUCAUACCAGAUCACAAUUAAAGAACUAAUGAUUAUGCUACCUUUGCACGGUCAAAAUACCGCGGCCCUUCAACAAGUCAGUGGGCAGGCCAUACUUCAAAAACUAACAAGAAGAGAUGUUUUUGUUAAACAGGCGGACAUAAAAAACUUUGCCUAAUUCCUUAAAGGCAAUUAACAUUCCCUACACAAAAUAACAAAAAAAAUUUACUAAUUACACAAUAAUUACCAUACAAACCAAAAAUAAAGAAAACAUUUCAAUAAAUAACUUAAAUAAAAUAAAAUUAAAAAAAGAACAAAUAAAAUUUUAACAUAAUCAAAUAGAAAAUCAAUAUAAAAUCCACCAAACUAAAUACCCUAAUUACACAUAAUUAUAAAGAUAAAAUAAAGAGCUAAUCCCCCUUAAUCUUAACAUCAAAUAAAAAACAAAUAAAACAACAGUAAACAUUAAAUAAGACGUAUGAAUUAAA
rnacentral:rRNA from 1 species